UACGGAAGGCAGCAGUGGGGAAUAUUGCACAAUGGGCGCAAGCCUGAUGCAGCCAUGCCGCGUGUAUGAAGAAGGCCUUCGGGUUGUAAAGUACUUUCAGUCGUGAGGAAGGUGUUAAGGUUAAUAACCUUAGCAAUUGACGUUAGCGACAGAAGAAGCACCGGCUAACUCCGUGCCAGCAGCCGCGGUAAUACGGAGGGUGCGAGCGUUAAUCGGAAUUACUGGGCGUAAAGGGCACGCAGGCGGUUAAUUAAGUUGGAUGUGAAAUCCCCGGGCUUAACCUGGGAAUGGCAUUCAAGACUGGUUAGCUAGAGUCUUGUAGAGGGGGUAGAAUUCCAUGUGUAGCGGUGAAAUGCGUAGAGAUGUGGAGGAAUACCGGUGGCGAAGGCGGCCCCUGGACAAAGACUGACGCUCAUGUGCGAAAGCGUGGGGAGCAAACGAGGGAUUUAGAU
rnacentral:rRNA from 1 species